CCUACGGGAGGCAGCAGUGAGGAAUAUUGGUCAAUGGGCGAGAGCCUGAACCAGCCAAGUCGCGUGAAGGAUGACGGCCCUACGGGUUGUAAACUUCUUUUGUCAGGGAGCAAUUGGGUCCACGCGUGGGCUUAGCGAGAGUACCUGAAGAAAAAGCAUCGGCCAACUCCGUGCCAGCAGCCGCGGUAAUACGGAGGAUGCGAGCGUUAUCCGGAUUUAUUGGGUUUAAAGGGUGCGUAGGCGGAAUAUCAAGUCAGCGGUAAAAAUUCGGGGCUCAACCCCGUCGUGCCGUUGAAACUGAUGUUCUUGAGUGGGCGAGAAGUAUGCGGAAUGCGUGGUGUAGCGGUGAAAUGCAUAGAUAUCACGCAGAACUCCGAUUGCGAAGGCAGCAUACCGGCGCCCAACUGACGCUGAGGCACGAAAGCGCGGGGAUCGAACAGGAUUAGAUACCCCUGUAGUC
rnacentral:rRNA from 1 species